rnacentral:rRNA from 1 species
GAUGAACGCUGGCGGCGUGCCUAAUACAUGCAAGUCGAGCGAACGGACGAGAAGCUUGCUUCUCUGAUGUUAGCGGCGGACGGGUGAGUAACACGUGGAUAACCUACCUAUAAGACUGGGAUAACUUCGGGAAACCGGAGCUAAUACCGGUUGAUAUUUUGAACCGCAUGGUUCAAAAGUGAAAGACGGUCUUGCUGUCACUUAUAGAUGGAUCCGCGCUGCAUUAGCUAGUUGGUAAGGUAACGGCUUACCAAGGCAACGAUGCAUAGCCGACCUGAGAGGGUGAUCGGCCACACUGGAACUGAGACACGGUCCAGACUCCUACGGGAGGCAGCAGUAGGGAAUCUUCCGCAAUGGGCGAAAGCCUGACGGAGCAACGCCGCGUGAGUGAUGAAGGUCUUCGGAUCGUAAAACUCUGUUAUUAGGGAAGAACAUAUGUGUAAGUAACUGUGCACAUCUUGACGGUACCUAAUCAGAAAGCCACGGCUAACUACGU